CACCGGCAGCUCAAGUGGUGGCCAUUUUUAUUGGGCCUAAAGCGUUCGUAGCCGGCUUGAUAAGUCUCUGGUGAAAUCCCAUAGCUUAACUGUGGGAAUUGCUGGAGAUACUAUUAGGCUUGAGGCCGGGAGAGGUUAGGGGUACUCCCAGGGUAGGGGUGAAAUCCUAUAAUCCUGGGAGGACCACCUGUGGCGAAGGCGCCUAACUGGAACGGACCUGACGGUGAGUA
rnacentral:rRNA from 1 species